rnacentral:lncRNA from 1 species
GCAUUUGAUCCCCUAGUUUCCUGCCAUUGAUCAAGCCUAAUACUUAGUUCAGCUGAUGAGUUUUAUAUGAAAUCUGAUAUUUCAGGGAGAUGGAAGGUUGAACCCAUUUUUAAUAUUUGUUUGCCCUUCAUCUCUUUCAGCGUUUGACGUGCACAUGAGACACCUAACAAAGCCUGAAACUAAAUUUAUUUUUCACUACAUCUCUCUGGUAUCAAACUUUUGGAAGUAAAGCAUGUAUUUAUCAAUAAAACAGAUGUUUGCCCAGCAUCAUCCACAUCCUGUCUACUGUAUGUAUACAUUUACACUCUCCCACCAAAACAUGCCUUCACCCCACUCUUGACCGGCUGUCCGCCAUUCAAUCUCCAGUGAAGUCUCGGUCAAUAAGGUCAACUCCCUGGAAACAUCUGCAUUUGAUCAGUUUGCACAAAACGGAGGCCUUCUUGAUACUGGACUUCCCUGAAGUCAGCUACGACAAUAGUUGAUUGACCACUACUGCCCAGGCCUCCCUCAGGAAACCCUUUUUUUUUUUUUUAAUCCCCCUCAGAGACUGUACAAUGCCGAGACUAACUCCUGCUCUAAUGAGCGGAGGGGCAUUUGCAGCUCUGCGUCUCCCAAGCUGGCAUCACACUGGGGGAAGAAUUUCCAUUAACCAGAAAGAUAUUCUGUCUAGUUAUUGCUAAAGCUAGGACGACUUGCUGUCCUUGAUCCAUUUCGGGACUGGGAAAGAGUACCAAAUGGAAUCUGAUCAGAAAGUUGUCAACAUGUUGUCAGUGUUUCAACCAUUCCAGACCUGGUAGGGGCAGUUCUCUGCUCCCAGGUGCACAUCAGGGAGGGAUUAGCAUUAUCCUGUAUGUGUGUUCUUUUCUCUCUCUCUUUUUUGACCAUAUUUUCAGCAUUUUAUGGUCAACAUGUUAUUCCAAAUUUAGAAAAUCCCCAAUCGCAUUGUUUACAAAAUUUGCUUGCCACAUUUUUUUAACGUUUGGGGUUUGACCGUCCUUUAUUUACAAAGAGGGUAGAACAAGAGACUGAAAAAAUUAAUCAGCUCCAUUUCCACUGAAGGGUUUUUUGAGCUUAGUCAUAGGUACCGAGCAGGAGGCAAGAGACCCACAGCACAGACCCGGCCUUCAGGAGCUGUUGGUCUAGUUGAGGGAACAAAACAUGAAUACCUGAAAAUAUACAGACAGGAAAGCAAGAAGUCUCAGGCAGCCAAUAAGUGGUACAGCUACAAACAUGCAGAUUGUCCAUCCUUCCCCAUGUGAAACACAUCAAAACUUGUUUUCAGUUUAAGACAACACUGGCUCUUGGUUUAAGCCGUCUCUGUAUGUGGUCCCCUCUCAGAUCUCAGUGCUGCCUGUCACUAUUGCUUCCCCAUCACCCCAUCCUCAGCUGCGUAUUGGGGUUCAGACCAACCUGCAUUACACCCCCAACAGUGCUGGGCUGUAGGGCAAGUUACCACACCACUCUGCACCCUAGGUCCCUCACUCGUGAGUGAUAGAACUGUCUCACAAAACAGACUGUCAGGAGGAUUAAGUGACACAGUGUAUGCAGAGUGCUUAAAGCAACACCGAGCGUGUACGUGGUGCUCGGUGCAGUCAGUGAUGAUCAGUGUUCAUAUUUCUGCCGUUGCCCAUCCGUCCCACAUCAGCCAGUCCUGCUGUGGUCAAUAUCUGCUGAUUUUAUUUGGAUGAAAAUGAAUUUGUUCUGAAAUGCUUCCAUAAGCUGUUUUUUGAAUGUUCAUGGCUUUCAUGUCUACCAGCUCCCCCAAACACAACCUUCUUCACCAGAGAUGGAAGUCACAGUGUGAUUCACAUCACUGUGUUUUCCCCAAAGGGCAAAAUAACAGACUGUACAAAUAAAGGGACAGCUUUCCCCACCACAAUAGGAUUAACUUUCAAAGGUCUUGCAAUGGAUGUAGAAACCCUUCUUGGCACCAAGGCUGACAUUUGGUCCCAAAUGUCACUAUUCUGGAAAACGUGAUUUCUUGCAGUUUUCACUGGCCUUAUUUAUGCAACUCAAAUGCUUUUUCUCACAUCAGAUUUUCACCUCAAUCUAGUCCCACAGUCUCUUAGUCAUCCCUGCUUCUGAACUGCCUGAUGGCCAAAGGACCCCAUGACUU